rnacentral:rRNA from 1 species
CCUACGGGUGGCUGCAGUGAGGAAUAUUGCACAAUGGGCGCAAGCCUGAUGCAGCCAUGCCGCGUGUGUGAAGAAGGCCUUCGGGUUGUAAAGCACUUUCAGCGGGGAGGAAGGCGUUAAGGUUAAUAACCUUGUCGAUUGACGUUACCCGCAGAAGAAGCACCGGCUAACUCCGUGCCAGCAGCCGCGGUAAUACGGAGGGUGCAAGCGUUAAUCGGAAUUACUGGGCGUAAAGCGCACGCAGGCGGUCUGUCAAGUCGGAUGUGAAAUCCCCGGGCUCAACCUGGGAACUGCAUUCGAAACUGGCAGGCUAGAGUCUUGUAGAGGGGGGUAGAAUUCCAGGUGUAGCGGUGAAAUGCGUAGAGAUCUGGAGGAAUACCGGUGGCGAAGGCGGCCCCCUGGACAAAGACUGACGCUCAGGUGCGAAAGCGUGGGGAGCAAACAGGAUUAGAUACCCCGGUAGUC